rnacentral:rRNA from 1 species
GGGGUAAAAUUAAUAAAUUAAUUUUAAUAAAAAAAUUUUUAAUAAAAUAUUUUAAAGGGGGGGUUAAAGUAUAUUUAUAGAAAAAAUAAAUUAAUUUAUAGUUAAAUAGUAUUGUAAAAGAAUUUUGAAAUAAUUGAAAUUAAAUUUUUUUAAAAGUAAUUUUUAUUUAAUGUAUCUUGGGUAUCAGAGUUUAUUAAAAAAAAUUAUUAAAUAAAAAAUUCUCGAAUUUAAAAGAGAUAAUUAAUUAAUAAAGUUAUUGUAGCAUAAAUAUUUUAAAUAAUUAAUUGGAAAUGAAAUGUUAAUCGUUUUUAAAUAUAUCUAGUUUUUUUAGAAAAAAAUUUAAUUUUAUAUUAUUUAAAAAAAAAAUUAAUUAAUUAAUUUUUUUUUUAAAUAAUAAUAUAUUUUAAGGGAUAAGCUUUAAUUUAAAUUUAUAUAAAUAAAUUGAAAAAUUAAAUUGAAAAUUUUAUAAUUUAUAUUGUUAAAAAAAUUUAAUUUAUUAUAAAUAAUUUCAUUUAAAAUAAAAUUUAAUAAAAUUUUAUAUGGUUUAUAAAAAAAAAAUUUUUAAUAAAAUAAAAUUUGAUAUAAUGAUAAAAUUAGUAUAUAAUAAAAUAUAUAAAUGAAUAAUUUAGUAUAAAUAAUUAAUUAAAAGGAAUUCGGCAAAAAUUUAUAUUCACUUGUUUAUCAAAAACAUGUCUUUUUGAAAAUAAUAUAAAGUCUAAUCUGCCCACUGAUAUAAUAUUAAAGGGCUGCAGUAUAUUGACUGUACAAAGGUAGCAUAAUCAUUAGUCAUUUAAUUGAUGACUUGUAUGAAAGAUUGGAUGAAAUAUAAACUGUCUCUUAAUUAAAUAUAGAAUUUAAUUUUUAAAUUAAAAAGUUUAAAUAAUUUAAAAAGACGAGAAGACCCUAUAGAGUUUUAUAAAUUUAAUGAUUAAGAUUAUUUAUUAAAAAAAAAAAUUAAAAUUAAUAAAUUUAUUUUGUUGGGGUGACAAAAAAAUAUAAAAAACUUUUUUUAAAAUAAAACAUAUAUAAAUGAUUAAAUGAUCCAUUAUUAUUGAUUAUAAGAAAAAAUUACCUUAGGGAUAACAGCGUAAUUUUUUUUUUUAGUUCUUAUAAAAAGAAAAGUUUGCGACCUCGAUGUUGGAUUAAGAUAAAAUUUAAAUGCAGUAGUUUAAAAUUUUUGAUCUGUUCGAUCAUUAAAAUCUUACAUGAUCUGAGUUCAAACCGGUGUAAGCCAGGUUGGUUUCUAUCUUUUAAAAAAUAAAAUAUUUUAGUACGAAAGGAUUAAAUAUUUAAAUUAAAUUUUUUAUUUUGAAUUUUAUUAAAGAUAAUUUAUAAAUUUAUAAUAAAUAAAUUAUAUAUAUAUAUAUAUAUAUAUAUAUUU